rnacentral:rRNA from 1 species
GCGCGAAAACUUUACAAUGCUGGCAACAGCGAUAAGGGAACCUCGAGUGCCAGGUUACAAAUCUGGCUGUCGAGAUGCCUAAAAAGCAUUUCAUAGCAAGGGCCGGGCAAGACCGGUGCCAGCCGCCGCGGUAACACCGGCGGCUCGAGUGGUAACCGUUAUUAUUGGGUCUAAAGGGUCUGUAGCCGGCCGGAUAAGUCUCUUGAGAAAUCUGGCAGCUUAACUGUCAGGCUUUCAGGAGAUACUGUCUGGCUCGAGGCCGGGAGAGGUGAGAGGUACUUCAGGUGUAGGGGUGAAAUCUUGUGAUCCUUGAAGGACCACCAGUGGCGAAGGCGUCUCACCAGAACGGACCUGACGGCGAGGGACGAAAGCUGGGGGCACGAACCG